rnacentral:rRNA from 1 species
GAUGAACGCUGGCGGCGUGCCUAAUACAUGCAAGUCGAGCGAACGGACGAGAAGCUUGCUCCUCUGAUGUUAGCGGCGGACGGGUGAGUAACACGUGGAUAACCUACCUAUAAGACUGGGAUAACUUCGGGAAACCGGAGCUAAUACCGGAUGAUAUUUUGAACCGCAUGGUUCAAAAGUGAAAGACGGUCUUGCUGUCACUUAUAGAUGGAUCCGCGCUGCAUUAGCUAGUUGGUAAGGUAACGGCUUACCAAGGCAACGAUGCAUAGCCGACCUGAGAGGGUGAUCGGCCACACUGGAACUGAGACACGGUCCAGACUCCUACGGGAGGCAGCAGUAGGGAAUCUUCCGCAAUGGGCGAAAGCCUGACGGAGCAACGCCGCGUGAGUGAUGAAGGUCUUCGGAUCGUAAAACUCUGUUAUUAGGGAAGAACAUAUGUGUAAGUAACUCUGCACGUCUUGACGGUACCUAAUCAGAAAGCCACGGCUAACUACGUG